rnacentral:lncRNA from 1 species
AAAAAACUAUAUUUUAUAUUAUAGUAUACAAUUUAGUAUGUUUUCAUUAAAUUCUUUGUCAAUUUUCUUGAUUUCGUAUCAAAUGGUGAUGUUUGGUUCAGUUGUAGCGCAGAAUCAAAUUCAAAAUAAUAGUAGUUGUGUUGAUGAAUUCGAGUGUGGGAAUCUUGGAAAUGUGAGUUUUCCUUUUUCUGUAUCUUCACAACCUGAUUGUGGAUUGUACAGUAUAGAUUGUGAUGUUACUCCCAAUCCAACAAUUCAUUUCGGAGAAAAUGUUUAUAGUGUUCUGGGACAACGAAACUUCGAUGGUUUUCGAGUUUUAGACCAUAGACUUGAGGAAUUAUUGGCGAAUAACAGUUGUGGAUCUUUCGAUAGAAGUAUAUUGUUUCCAAGUUCUCCUUCUAUCUCGUUUAGAAUCAAUGAACGAAAUCUUACUUUGUUUAGAUGCAACAACAGUUUAGAUAUCAACAGAAGCAUGAGUGAUAAUUAUUUUCGCGAAUAUCUGAAUUAUACUAAAUGUAGUGGCUUUAGUAUAUACUACAAGUAUCCUAGUAGAGGACGGGUAGGUUCCUCAGAUGCACCAGAGGGAGAUAUUCCGGACAGCUGUUCACCGAUUCAAUUGCCAAUUAGAUGGAACACUUCACAGUCAAACGCUUCGAAUAGUAGCUUGUUUGAUCUGUUAACUGGGAAUUUUUCAAUUCAGUGGAGCCUGUCUGAUGAUUGUAGUAAAUGUUACUAUGGAGGAGGUCGAUGUUUAACCGAUAGCAGCAAUAGAUUUAUUUGUUCCACUUCCAGCACUGAUCCCAAAGGUAAAUUUUACUUCUGAAGAGAAGUUAAUUAACUUAGUUAUUCUUCCCUACACUGCAAUAAAGUUUAAAAGGUUUCUCCUAUAAAACAAACAUACUGGACUCUAGUAUGCUUGUUUAAUACCGUUGGGUUUUAAAGGUGUGAACAGGAAAUGAAGUGUUGUGACUCUCUUGAAGGGUUGUGACUAUGCCGAAGGGUUGUGACCUGUAUGAAAGGUUGUGUCAUUUCUAAAGGGUUGUGACCGGUUGAAAGGUUGUGUCUUUUUCAAAGUGUUGUGACCUUUCUGAAAGGUUGUCUUCUUUCCAAAGAGUUGUGACCUUUACCCUUUGUUGGCUAUAAAUAGAGAGACUUUCUCUCAUUUUUCUGCAUCGAAUUCUUCCCUUCUCUUGCAUACAUUUCUUACAAAACAAAAUCGAUCGAUCGUGUCUGUGUGUGUGAUUCGUUGUUGUCAUUUCGAGUUCGUUGAAAUUAUUGAAAUUUUGAGGUACCGUUACUUCUUUAAUGGUUAAUCCAUUUUAUCUUGGGAGGAAUUAAUCUGCAACCUCGAGUACUUGAGGGGAUUAAAUUUCUUAAGGACACACAGUGGGUUCUGUGGACUCGGAUAGUUCUUUGUGUUUUUCUUUUCAUCUUUUAUUAUUUCUGGUUUGCUAAUCUGAAUACAGGAGAUAACAAACUUAAGAAAUUUAAUAUUGAUGGUAUUUUCUNNNNNNNNNNNNNNNNNNNNNNNNNNNNNNNNNNNNNNNNNNNNNNNNNNNNNNNNNUGGUAAGGAAAUUACUUUUAUUUUCUGUGUUCUUUUUGUUGAAAAAAAAAAAGAAGAAAAGAGGAUUAUUUUAUCAUAUGAUAAAAGAGAUUUGGGAUGAAUUAGUACUACUUUAAUAUGAUGAGUAUAUUCUGUAGUAAGUUUUCUUUGGAUGGGUAAGAUUAUUUUUAUUUUCUUUCCAAGUGCAUUCAAGCAUUGCACCCCUUCAGUUUUCUUUUCAAUGAAAAAGUUAUUUUGUGCAUAAAGGUUAAGAUAUGCACUUUAAUUUUUUUCCCUAUAUUCUUGAUUUUAUGUAACUAUGAGAAGAAGUAAAUGAACAAUGUUGUGUCCGAACAAUAUUUGAACAUAUGUUUAGUUUCUUAUUGAAAUUAAAUGUCCUCUUGAGGAUAAUAGGAAUAUGAUGGAAACUGAGAAAUGACAAAAAAAAUAUAGCAAGAAAAGUGACUUGCGUGAAAUCAUUGCUGACAUAUAGAAUAUGAUUCAAUGAGAGUAAAACGGAGGUUCUAUCUUUAUUUCCUUUAUUAUUAUUUUUUUCUAUCCUUUAUAAGUUAUGAGAUUUAUUUCAUAAAUGUUAGGAUAGAUGAUCAUUAUGUGAUGAUCUCAGAAUAUAUCUUUAUUAAUAUUAAUAUGUAUUCUGUUUAGAGGAGAAAAAAAAGAAGAAGAAAAACUUUUGUAGUUUUCUACUUCAUGUGAAAUUUGAUUGUGUUUGACUUUUGGAGAAUUUUUUUUUUUACUCCUUUGGUUUGAAGAAUAUAAGAACUUCACGAACAAAUCAGAUUGUGCAUUGGUUUGAAGAAUAUAGAAACUUCACCAAUUUGUUAAAUACUCUGUUUGAAUGAAUAUUNNNNNNNNNNNNNNNNNNNNNNNNNNNNNNNNNNNNNNNNNNNNNNNNNNNNNNNNNNNNNNNNNNNNNNNNNNNNNNNNNNNNNNNNNNNNNNNNNNNNNNNNNNNNNNNNNNNNNNNNNNNNNNNNNUUAGCUCGAAACAGUGUUGUAUUUGAGGUUUUUGGAGAUUAAAACCUUUUUGAUUUACUACUCAGAAUGUGAAACUGAUUCGAAGUAUAUAAAAACUUCAUCAGAAUUCAAGGUUCAUUCGGUUAACGAUUAGAAGAAUAUAAAAACUUUAUCGUUAAACUAGAAACAAGUUGUAUAAAGAUUGAAUCUUUAUUGUUAGUAUUCUAAAUACUAAGUGGUCUGUCUAAUUGUGACAAAAAAGAAAAGCAAUGGGUGUUUAUAUGGAUUAAAUCUCCAAAAGAAGAUUUCGUGUUGCCAAUGUGUAUUUUGAUGGUACACAAUAUGAAAGCAUGGGAAAAAAUAUGUGGAAAAUAAUUUCAAAUACUUGAAAAAUAUUUUUGGGAACAUAUUUAAAAUGUGGGGGGUUCUUUACUUGUGAUAAGACAAAAUUAGACUUACUAUCUAAUUAAAUUUGAAAGUACAAGAUAUGAAAUUUAAUGACAUUCUUGUAUUAUGUUAGUCCCACAAAAAUUCUUGGAGUAUAUUUGAUAUUGUGAUCGUUGAGUCUCUCUUUACUAGUAUAUGAUAUGACUAGUAUAAAACCACAAAAUUAUAUUACUUGUUCAAAAGAAUUGUAUUCUUUGAUGAAAAAGUUUCACUUAAAAUAUUGUGAUUUUUCAUGAAAAGAUAUGUCUAUUAAAAUAAAUUUUUUCGUAUAGACAUGAACAUUGGUGAAAAGUGAUAUGUUAUGUUUGUGUUGUAAAACAAACAUUUGGGUUAUAUUGCCCUUAUUGGACCGAUGAUACUAUGGUCAUGGGUAAUUCUAUAACAAAUUGAAUGUUAUGAAAAGGUCCUUCUGAAAAUGACAUAUGUCAAUGUGUUGACUCUAAAACAAAGUCUGUAUUUGAGAAAGUUAUAAAAAGUAAAGAACAAAAUAUUUGUGGGAAAAGGUUACUUCACAGAAGGUCUUUUCGAACUUAGUAUUUCUGUUUUUUCUUACUUGCUUGAAUCAAAUUGUUUGUGGCAUAAAUGCUUGGGACAUAUCAAUUACAAAAUCUUGCAAAAACUGAACAACUUAGAAGUUUUGUCUAACUUUUAGUGCAAUAAAUCAAAAUGUCAAGCAUGUGUUGUUGAAAGGAAUUUUAAUACCUUAGAAUUGAUUUAUAUUGACAUUUGUGAUAUGAAGUCAACACCAUCUCGUGGUGGGAAAAAGUGUUUCAUAAAUUUUAUUGACAAUUGCACUAGAUAUUGUUAUGUUUAUUUGUUUGAAUGAUAAGGAAAAAAUAAUAGAAACAUAUAGGCAAUAUAAAACUGAAGUUGAAAAUCAGUUAGAUAAAGAGAUUGUCAUGAUUAGAAGUGGUAGAUGUAGAGAAUAUGAAUCUUCUUUUGCAGAAAUAUAUUUGGAAAAUGGAAUCAUCCAUCAAAUUACUGCACAUACUCACCUCAAUCUAAUGAAAUUUUUGACAUAAAAAAACCGAACUUUGAAGGAAAUGUUGAAUGUCCUAUUUAUAAGUUCAGGUUUACCACAAAAUUUGUGGGUGGUGCUAUCAUUACAGCAAAAGAAAACAACAAAAAAUUUGUUUGUUCAGAAAGAGAGAAACAAAAAGUUUUGUUUGUUANNNNNNNNNNNNNNNNNNNNNNNNNNNNNNNNNNNNNNNNNNNNNNNNNNNNNNNNNNNNNNNNNNNNNNNNNNNNNNNNNNNNNNNNNNNNNNNNNNNNNNNNNNNNNNNNNNNNNNNNNNNNNNNNNNNNNNNNNNNNNNNNNNNNNNNNNNNNNNNNNNNNNNNNNNNNNNNNNNNNNNNNNNNNNNNNNNNNNNNNNNNNNNNNNNNNNNNNNNNNNNNNNNNNNNNNNCAUAUGAGAAAUGGAAAUGAGGGAACUAUUCCCAAACGGGUCAAAAUAUGACCUAAGACUUUGGAUUGUAUGUUCAUUGGAUAUGCUACAAAUAGUAAAGCAUGUCGAUUUAUGGUUCAUAAGUUUGAACCGUCGGAUAGUCAAGUGAAGGGUUGAUCUUCCUCCAAGAAAUAAACCUUUGGGUUCAAAGUGGAUCUACAAAAGGAAAAGAAAGUUGAUUAAACUAUUGAAAAAUACAAAGCAAGACUUGUUGUCAUAGGCUUUAGACAAUAAGAAAGCCUUCUUUGACACAUAAUAGCCACUAACUAGGAUUACAUAAAUUCAGAUAUUAAUUGCACUAGAUGCGGUAUAUGUCCUUCAAAUUCGUCAAAAUGGAUGUGAAAAUAUUUUAUUUAAAAUGGAGAAUUGGAGGAAGAUAUUUACAUGGAACAACCCGAGGGUUUCAUGGUUCCUGGUAAAGAAAAAAAAGUUUGUAAACUUGUUAAGACACUUUGUGGACUAAAAACAAGCGCUAGACAUUAAAGUUACUGAUGUGAUUGAGAAGGUACUUGACAAGUUCAAGUAUUUGGAUUUCAAUAUUGUCAAGACUCCAAUAAAUGUGAGAUUUGUACUUCAAAAGAAUGAAGGCAAAAGUGACUCACAAUUGGAUUGUGCUAGAGUAUUGAGACGUAUGAUAUAUAUCAUAAAGUAUACGCGAUCAGAUAUAGCUUGGGCUAUUAGUAAACUGAGUCGGUUCACGAGUAAUCUCAAUUAAAUUCAUUGGAUGACAAUGAAAAGAGUUUUGGAGUAUUUAAAACAUACUUAUAAACUAUUGCUUUGCAUUAUAACUAAUAUUCAACAGUAUUGGAAGAAUAUAGUGAUGCAAAUUAAAUCACCAGGUCAAAUGAAGAAAAAUUCACGAGUGGAUUUGUAUUUACUCUUGGUGGAGGAGCAGUCUCUUAGAAAUCUUUCAAACAGAAAUUUAUCACUUGCUCUACUAUGAAAUCUGAGUUUAUCACUCUAGAUAAGACUGGUGAAGAAGUUGAAUGACUCCAAAAUUUCUUGAAAGAUUUUUGGCCCAAACCUUUUAGCUCUAGUAUGCAUACACAAUGAGAGUUAAUUUGCAAUAGGUAGGGCAUGGAGCAUGAUGUAUAAUGGAAAGUCUAGUCAUAUAUGACGUAGACAUAAUAUCGUUAAAAAACUACUCUCUAGUGGAAUGAUCAUAAUUGACUAUGUAAAGUCAAAGGAUAAUAUGACAUAUCCACUUAUGAAAGGCCUAACUAGAGAGGAAGUUGAUAGAUUAUCCAAGGGAAUGAGACUAUGGCUAAGAACAAGUCAUUGUGGCUGUAACUCUACCUAGAAGACUGGAGAUCCCAAGAUCUAGGUUCAAGGAGAUCAAACAAAGUCAUUGAUGACGGUUUAACAUUGUCAAAAAAUUUUUUAUGGUUCAUUCUCAUGAUAAGACAAUGUUCAGUAACAAGGAUAAAGGCAUUAGGACUUUUUAAUGGUUUCUAAGUUUGAUACAUGGUAUAUCAAAUAGUGUAUCUACGGGAUAACACAUUUAGAAAUCACUUAUGUAAGUGUGAAGUGUAAGCCGCUUCAAGGAGAAUUCGGUAAGGCCAGUUCUCUACGCACUUAUAAACCAAGACGUGUUCAUGGCUGAAACGAACAAAACAAUGAGAACCAAAAACAGUUCAAAGGGGUUGAUUGUGUGACUUAUGUUGUUUAGGUAUACACCAAAGCUCAAUGGUUCAAAGAUAUUAAAUCUACCAAUUGACCGAGUAUAUCCGAUAUAUGUUCACUAUGGAAAGUUCAAAGGGAAACCCACUUAUCCAGAUGCAAUCAAUCUUUACUUACGAAUCACACAAUUUUUCAUGCAUAUGUUUUAACAAUAGUCAAUACCUAUUCAUGUGGGGAUUGUUGGAUUUUAAAGGUAUGAACAAGAAAUGAAGUGUUGUGACCUUUAUGAAAGGUUGUGUCAUUUCUAAAGGGUUGUGAUCGGUUGAAAGGUUGUGUCUUUUUCAAAGUGUUGUGACCUUUCUGAAAGGUUGUCUUCUUUCCAAAGAGUUGUGACCUUUACCCUUUGUUGGCUAUAAAUAGAGAGACUUUCUCUCAUUUUUCUGCAUCGAAUUCUUCCCUUCUCUUGCAUACAUUUCUUACAAAACAAAAUCGAUCGAUCGUGUCUGUGUGUGUGAUUCGUUGUUGUCAUUUUGAGUUUGUUGAAAUUAUUGAAAUUUUGAGGUACCGUUACUUCUUUAAUGGUUAAUCCAUUUUUAUCUUGGGAGGAAUUAAUCUGCAACCUCGAGUACUUGAGGGGAUUAAAUUUCUUAAGGACACACAGUGGGUUCUGUGGACUCGGAUAGUUCUUUGUUUUUCUUUUCAUCUUUUAUUAUUUCUGGUUUGCUAAUCUGAAUACAGGAGAUAACAAAUACUUUUAUAUUUAGAUGAAGAGACUUAAAUGUAAGUUUUAUAGAGUGGUGGUUAGACUGAUUUUGUUGUAUGGGGCGGAAUAUUGGCCAAUCAGGAACUCUCAUAUUCAAAAGAUGCAUGUCAUGGAAGUGAGGAUGUUGAGGUGGAUGUGUGGGCAUACAAGGGGCGACAAGAUUAGGAAUGAGGGUAUCUAGCUAGGAUAAGGUGGCAGGGAGAUACCUCCGUGGUGGAAAAGAUGAGGGAAGUGAGAUUAAGAUGGUUUGGGCAUGUGAAAGGGAGAUGUGCAGACCCCUGGUGAGGAGGUGCGAGAGGUUGGUUAUAGUAGGUACGAGGAGAGGUAGAGGUAGACCAAAGAAGUAUUAGGGAGAGGUGAUUAAACAGGAUAUGACACAACUUCAAGUUACCGAGGACAUGACCUCAGCUAAGAGGGUGUGGAGGAUGUGAUUUAGACUUUUAGGGUAGAAGGUUAGUAGAUAGUGCAGUGUUGUUUUAUAUUGUGCAGCAUCUGAUAGCACAGAUUAUACACUCACUUCUUAUUCCUCACUUCCUUGUGCAACACAUAUAUUUAUAUAUCUAACAUUUUCGUGAUUUUCUUUGGCUGCAGCAAAAAGAAAGUCGAAACGAAUUCUAGUUGCAGGUAACUAUCUAUAGCUACAAAUGUGCUACCGUUGCAUAAAAACACCUACACACACAGAUAAAGAGAACGUUCUUCACGGGAACGUUAUUAUGCUGAUAAAUAUAGUAUCCUGCAGAACUAGUGCAACUUCAAAAAUUGACAGCAAUCUUCCAAUUUGUGUCUUGACAGCAGCAGUUACUUCUUCUAUUGGGGGAAUUGCAAUGUUAGUUGUCCUAUUCCUCUACUUAAGAACAAAAUGCUCCUUCAUUUCCUGGAAGACAAAAGGAGAGGAUUACAGAAAUGUAAAAGCCUUCUUGAAGAACCAUGGAUCACUCGCACCAAGGAAGUACAGUUAUUCUGAAGUUAAAAAGAUGACUGAGUAUUUCAAAAACAAACUUGGUCAAGGAGGCUAUGGUUCCGUGUAUAAGGGAAAGUUGCAUACCGGAAGUCUUGUGGCAGUCAAGGUCUUGAAGGAAUCGAAGGGCGGGGGAGAAGAGUUUAUCAAUGAGGUAGCAAGUAUCAGUAGGACUUCUCAUAUUAAUAUUGUAUCACUUGUGGGAUUUUGUUUUGAGGGUCAACACAGAGCUCUCAUUUAUGAUUUCAUGCCCAAUGGGUCCCUUGAGAAGUUCAUUUACGAUGCAAAAUGUGGUACAAAUCGUCAACUAGGUUGGCAAACAUUGUACGAUAUUUCACUUGGCAUUGCUAGAGGAUUGGAGUAUCUGCAUCGCGGUUGCAAUACUAGAAUCCUUCAUUUUGAUAUAAAGCCUCACAACAUUCUUCUUGAUGAAGACUUUUGUCCAAAAAUAUCCGAUUUUGGCCUUGCAAAACUAUGUAACAAUAAGGAAAGCAUUGUGUCUUUAUUGGGCGCGAGAGGGACUAUGGGCUACAUUGCACCAGAAAUUGUGUGUAAAAACAUUGGAGGAGUUUCUCACAAGUCGGAUGUGUACAGCUAUGGUAUGAUGGUACUCGAGAUGGUUGGAGGAAGGAAAAAUGCUGAUACCAGUGAAAUAUACUUUCCACACUGGAUUUACAAACAAAUUGAACAAAAGAAAGAGCUUGGAUUAACUGGCAUUGUAGAGGAAGAGGAUAAAAAACUUGCAGAAAAGAUGAUACUGGUGAGCCUGUGGUGCAUCCAAACCGAUCCGUCCAGCAGGCCUUGUAUCAGUAUGGUCAUAGAGAUGUUACAAGGUGAACUCGAAUCUUUGCAAAUGCCUCCGAAGCCUUUCUUGUAUUCUUCUUCAGUGUCAGACAGUGACAUGCCUACUACCACCUAUAUGAUUCAAGACUCGAAAGAUCAAGUUUGAUGAUCUAGACUUGUCAAAUUAUGUAUGUAUUAUUUUGGAUUAAUUAAGAUAUCACACAAACUACUUUUGGUAAGUUAAUUCCAUUGUUACCAGAAUUAUAUAUCACUCUAAAGUGAAUAGCACUUUGAUAUAUGCGUUUUGCCAAUCGAUCAACUGUGGUUAGUCUUCUAUGUAGAGCUAACCAAAGAGUGAACUGAUGUCAGCACCUUACCCUUGCUGCAGUCCUGUCCAAAUACAGACUUUUAGUUUUACCAAACGCGUAGAUAAGCCAGGCCGUGCUUAUAAGUUUAGUCGGGAUUGGCUUAAAUAGAAGCAUAAAGAUAAGCCAAUGGACAUAGUAGUUUCAAUAGCAAGUCUUAUAAUUUAGACAGGACAGGAAGUGACUUUGCUGCAUUUUCAUGAAAUGUGAUCAACUACUUUUCCUACUUCCUUUGGGAAUGUACUCGUAAGCAAAAAGGAGUUCACCAUGCAUCCAUAAACGGAAUUAUACUUUUGGACUCAUUAUAAUUUAAUUAGAGUUGAAACGUUGAUCGACUAUUAAAUCAAAGUUGGAAUAAACUAACCAAAAAGCUGUAAAAAGUAGAAUUUCUCAGCUGAAAAUCCAUUUUUUUCCAACAGCAACAUUAAAUUAGUCCUACUUUGGGAUAAGUGUGGCUUACUAGAGUGGUUGAACAUAUUUAUCGUUAAUCAAUGAAUUGAGUGUUUGAGUCACGCUAAAAAAUAAGUGAAAAUAUAUUUUACCAUUCAAAGUUGUAGAAGCUGAAAAUUCCAAGCGUUUAUUUAAAUAUAUAUGGUGUAGAAAAAGUGGAAGAAGAAAAUAUAUGCACAAAAUGGCAGAGAUUAUAGAGGAGUAUCAAAUUAAUUUUGAAUAUCUUAUAGGAGUUGAGAAUGGUAGCUUUAGAUUAUUUGUCAGUUUUCUUGAUUUUCUAUCUCUUGGUUAUGUUUAAUUCAGCUGAAGCUCCGAAUCAAACCCAAAAUAAUAGUAGUAGCUGCCUCAAUGAAUUCAAGUGUGGGAGUCUUGGUAAUGUGAGUUUUCCUUUUUCUGUAUCUUCACAACCUGCUUGUGGAUUGUACACUAUAGAUUGUGAUGUUACUCCCAAUCCAACAAUUCGUCUCGGAGAAAAUGUUUAUAGUGUUCUGG